AUGUCUACGCGUGUGAUGCGUCGACGCAAAUUAUUUGUUUCGACGCAUUUACGUAAUCGAUGACGUCGACCCAGCCCUAAU